rnacentral:rRNA from 1 species
AUUGAACGCUGGCGGCGGGCCUAACACAUGCAAGUCGAACGAGUGGCGGACGGGUGAGUAAUGUCUGGGAAACUGGCUGAUGGCGGGGGAUAACUACGGGAAACUGUAGCAAAUAACGCAUACCGUCACAUGUGCCCAGAUUGGAUUAGCUAGUUGGUGGGGUAGCGGCUCACCAAGGCGACGAUGCCUAGCUGGUCUGAGAGGAUGACCAGCCACACUGGAACUGAGACACGGUCCAGACUCCGACGGGAGGCAGCAGUGGGGAAUAUUGCACAAUGGGCGCAAGCCUGAUGCAGCCAUGCCGCGUGUAUGAAGAAGGCCUUCGGGUUGUAAAGUACUUUCAGCGGGGAGGCGUUACCCGCAGAAGAAGCACCGGCUAACUCCGUGCCAGCAGCCGCGGUAAUUC